CUGAUAGAUGUAUUCGGCUUCCAUAUAUAGGAGUGUUUGGCAGAGGGAUAAAACAAGAUGGCGCCUUCCAAGAGAUGGGCAUGGAAGGCCAAGGCGCAAGUCGACAUCUUGAAUUCAACAAGAGCCAUCUUUGUUAUUAUUUAAUUGAAUGAAAAACACGUGACAUUCUUCUAGUUUUGUACAAAAGAGGAAUGCCGGAUAGUUAUAGUUUGUGUACAUAGCGAAGGAGGCUCUUCACUUCAAAAGGAAGAAGAAGAUAUAUACAAUACUAAUGGCAGAAGAACUUAAAGUUGAGAGUAAAUAAAUAAAAUAAUAGUACUAACUAUCCAGAAUCCUGGGAUUGCAAGGAGUUGGAAUGCUGGAUGAAGACAUGUCGUUGUCCAGAGGGUUUCUUUUGUGUAGGGACAUGAUGGUGACAGAUCGGGAUAAGAAAGUUCGGCGGGAGAUUGCGAAUUCGAAUGAGAGGCGGCGGAUGCAGAGCAUCAAUGCGGGAUUCCAAGGACUCCGAAGCCUGUUACCUCAUCACGAAGGGGAGAAGUUGAGUAAAGCCUCGAUCCUUCAGCAAACGGCGGAAUACAUUUACUCUUUGGAGCGGGAAAAGACGCGUCUCUUGACGCAAAAUGUGCAGCUCAAGCGACUUCUGAAUCUCGGGAAUUCCCCCGUUGUGGAAGAUGCGAAUGCCUCUCUCAAACGACGCAGGGAAAACGAGGCAGACGAAACUGCUCUUCAAUUACUACGAGAAAGACAAUUACGGAUUGAAUUAGAAGCCAAAUUACGAACUGCGGAGUCGGAACUUGCGUCCUCGCGCUCCGCUCUAGACAAAUUCUCAUCUCUUCCUCCUCAAAAAAAUCAUUCAUCCUCUUCAGUUAAAGUACAAGUCGAGUCUGUCGUCAAGUCCUCCUCGGAACGCAUUGUCUCCACGGAUCCUUUAGGGCAAAGGUCUUAUAUUGUCACCACGAAUAACUCCCGUCAAAAUCUAGAUUCAAUCGUUGAAGCCAUUCGACAUCUAGAGGGCGAUCAUCUCUUUUCAUCGGAGGAUGUUGCCGGAACACCCAAUCAAGUCGUUAAAGAAGAGAUAAUUGAGUCCGGAUCCGUCUCCCCUGAAAAUAAAAACACCAAAAGUUCCUCUGUGUUUGUAUCAUCGUCGUCUUCAAUCACUUCCAAACCUACACCAUCUCCAAUAACAUUAAAUGUACCAGUAACCUCCAGUAACUUUGUGAUUUUAAAACAAGAACUAAAAUCCCCUUGAUUGUCAUAAUUUUUUAAACAACCACCACACAUGUAUGUAUUCUGGGACAUAAUUCUCAAGUUAUCAAAGAAUAAUUGAUUAUUAUUAUUAAAUAGUUUUAAAUAUUAGUAUAUAUACUAUUGUUAAAAAGAAGUGGAAUUUUUGAAUUUGAAAUUAUUGAUUCACGGAUCAAAGAUGAUAGUUUUUUAUACAUUGUUUAUUUCACUGUGUUCAGAUAUUUAAAAAAAAGUAAUAGUGGUUUCAUUUUCAUAAUUGAAUGUUGUUCACUUUCGAGACUCCGCUUAUUAAUAAUAAUUACUAUUGAUUUUAUAUUUAUAAACUUAUUUUUUCUAUGUAUUUAAAAAAAAUUAUAUAUACACAAUAUAAAUUUUGUAUUCGAUCUACUUUUCAAAGAUCACAUCA
rnacentral:misc_RNA from 1 species